AACUAUACAAUGGAAAUAACAAUAGCAUCUAUAUCUCCUAGGAGUGUUUGGAAGAUGAGAUAAUUUCAAGCCAGAAGAGUACUUAGCACAGUGCCUGGCACAUAGAAUAUCCUUCCUAGUAGAUUGGAUAUAUCUUCAAAACUCUGCUCAAGAAUUACUUUGACUGUGAAGCUAGCCAUGGAUGAGACUACUUGGCUACAUGUGUCUAAUUUUAUUUAGAGCCCAUGACUAUAGCACUGAGCUGCAUAAUGGGAUUAGGAGUCCUGAGAAAUUAUUACAGCCAGUGAUAUGCUGGAGCUAGACUCUACUCUUACAAGAGCCAGUGGAAUCAUCAGGCAAAGCCAGUAACAUCAGAGGUGUCCACUGAAUGGCUCAGAGUUGAGAAAACCCACCCUCCUGGAAGCAGAGUGGCAGAGGAGCCAAAUGGUGAUCUGGAGAAUAUAGCAUUUCCAUUCACAAUCCAAGCAACAGGAGAAGCAAGGUAAGAGCAUGAGAGUUGGACAUCUUAAGCUAGUGGCAAAAGAAGAGUUCCAGGAAAAGCAAGGUGGGUGAUA
rnacentral:lncRNA from 1 species